rnacentral:rRNA from 1 species
GAGUAGGGGAGGCGUAGGGAAACCGGAGUCCGAAUAGGGCGCAUAGUUGCUGGCGUAGACCCGAAACCAAGUGAUCUAUCCAUGGCCAGGUUGAAGGUGCCGUAACAGGUACUGGAGGACCGAACCCACUAGUGUUGCAAAACUAGGGGAUGAGCUGUGGAUAGGGGUGAAAAGGCUAAACAAACUUGGAAAUAGCUGGUUCUCUCCGAAAACUAUUUAGGUAGUGCCUCACGUAUCACUCUCGGGGGUAGAGCACUGUCAUGGCUAGGGGGUCAUCGCGACUUACCAAACCAUAGCAAACUCCGAAUACCGAGAAGUGCGAGCGUGGGAGACAGACAUCGGGUGCUAACGUCCGGUGUCAAGAGGGGAAAACAACCCCAGACCGCCAGCUAAGGUCCCCAAAUGACGUGCUAAGUGGUAAACGAAGUGGGAAGGCAUAGACAGCCAGGAUGUUGGCUUAGAAGCAGCCAUCAUUUAAAGAAAGCGUAAUAGCUCACUGGUCGAGUCGUCCUGCGCGGAAGAUGUAACGGGG